UAUUGGUCUACCAGAGAGGGCACAUGUGCCUCAAUUGGCCUAUAGCAUAGUGGCUCAUUAUCCUUCAACCGCUGGUGGCGGGCGGUACUCGCUGCUCUGUGAAGCCAGCCUCACGCAAUGUCCGCCACUUUAGGUGUUGGGAUGCAAAGGCUUUCGCCAAGGCAUCCGAAACCCACUACACAACUUGGAAUGGGUGGUCCACAGUUUGUAGCACUAGACCCAGGCACAUGCACCACAAUUGACAUUCACACUACCUUAUUGCCCCCGCUCGGGUUACAAGCAAUCGCUACUUGCUCAGCGAGUGAGGGGGGUUCAAGACUACCUAUUUAAGGUGGUGUUGUACUGUAUGAGCCGGCGGUGUGGUAUUUACCAACUACAAAUAGUGUCAUGCAUGUGACUUGCUAGUUGACAAUGUCUGUUGUGGAGCUAGAUGUGGGCUAUGGAUGAAGCACAUUAGGAUAUAGUAGGCCUAUUUUGUUUUUUGUUAUUUUUGGGCCACUAUGGACUUUAUGUUGAUGUUGUGAAUUUUUUUCUUGUGUUUCCUCUUCCUACGAUGUGGAAAGUGGGUGCGUCAGAGAAGAAAGAAAGAGUGGCUAGCAUUGAUUUUACGUCAUACCAUUGAGAACACUAAUCAGAAGCAGAAGCAACAAUAUUUCAUACAUAUACAACACUUGUAAUCCAUAUAAACAACUUUCCUUUCAAAUAUAAUAUAAACCACAUGAUUUAUAUCCUGGGUCGGCUAUCUCCACAAAGGGCAAGAAAACGCUCCAAGUUUGUAGUAUAGAACUAAAAGUGUCGACUCUCACGAUUUCUUCCCGACAUAUGCAAACUAGACAGUAAUCACAUAAAAUAAAGAAAUAUGUGUUAACACAAACUUAUAACAUGUAUUUCAACAUAUAGAUUUUUGAUUAUUAUGGUAGAUUAUAUAAUAUAGGGGUUCCCGAAGAAAUACAUAAAAAACAAGAGCAUUAAAAUUUCCUUUUCAGAUCUGGCUAACUGGUAAAGGGAGUUGGAGUAUCUGUGUUUCCAAAUUUGGGACGUCGCUCUAUAGAAGGAAUAUAAAUACAUUGGAAAAAAAUUCUACAAGGAAAGGUUUAAUACAAGUAGGGCUAAGAAAAACUCAAUGAGGCUUUGGUCGCAUGGUCACAAAACUUGAGACAAGAAACACGAAGACACCAAGGUAAUUAGUAUGAGAGUUUUCCAAAUUUGGUGUCUUGAUGUAGAAAAAAUAAAUAUAUGACAAACUUGUUUUUUCGCAAGGCAUGGAUAAAUAAGUGGGGGUGAGCAAUAAAUUUCAUCCUAGAUUUAGAAGGAAUAAAUAUAUCACUAAAUACGUUUUUUCAUAAUGCCAAGUUAAUCAGGUGGGAGCGAGAAACAAUUCUAGCGAGGCUAGGUUGUACUAGCCCAAAACUACAUACAACAGAGGAAAAAUGAAGAAAAUGAUGGUCUACCAAAUAUGGCGCAUGAGCCUUAAGGUGCACCUAGAGGGAAGUAGAAGAAAUAAAUAUAUAAUAGCAUAUGUUUUUCUCAAUGCAAGGUAAAGUGUAGAUGUGCUCUAACUGGGCUUAGAUUGCAGCGACACAUUAUGCAUCUACAAGGCUUGGUUGCACAUGGAAAAAGAUAGAGAGAGAAAUGUAGACACAGGACGGGGAGAAAAACAUUCAAUGAGACAUGAUUGCACGGACAUAGAACUAGAUAUAAGACAAGAGUUAAAGAAAAAUAAAGGAACUAAAUUUUCUUCUGCACACUCAGCAUGAAUGGAGUUGUAGUAUCUGAGAUCAAAAUUUAAUUUAUUCCAAGAUGCAGAACAAAAACGUGAUACUCGUAAUGGUUACAUAGGAACAAAAGUAGAUAAGAAAAAUAGCAAAAAGAUAGUGGUCUACCAGAGAGGGCACAUGUGCCUCAAUUGGCCUAUAGCAUAGCGACUCAUUAUCCUUCCACCGCUGGUGGCGGGCGGUACUCGCUGCUCUGUGAAGCCAGCCUCACGCAAUGUCCGCCACUUUAGGUGUUGGGAUGCAAAGGCUUUCGCCAAGGCAUCCGAAACCCACUACACAACUUGGAAUGGGUGGUCCACAGUUUGUAGCACUAGACCCAGGCACAUGCACCACAAUUGACAUCCACACUACCUUAUUGCCCCCGCUCGGGUUACAAGCAAUCGCUACUUGCUCAGCGAGUGAGGGGGUUCAAGACUACCUAUUUAAGGUGGUGUUGUACUCUAUAAGCCGGCGGUGUGGUAUUUACCAACUACAAAUAGUGUCAUGCAUGUGACUUGCUAGUUGACAAUGUCUGUUGUCGAGCUAGAUGUGGGCUACGGAUGAAGCACAUUAUGAUAUAGUAGGCCUAUUUUGUUUUUUGUUGUUUUUGGGCCACUAUGGACUUUAUGUUGAUGUUGUGAAAUUUUUUCUUGUGUUUCCUCUUCCUACGAUGUGGAAAGUGGGUGUGUUAGAGAAGAAAGAAAGAGUGGCUAGCAUUGAUUUUACGUCAUACCAUUGAGAACACUAAUCAGAAGCAGAAGCAACAAUAUUUCAUACAUAUACAACACUUGUAAUCCAUAUAAACAACUUUCCUUUAAAAUAUAAUAUAAACCACAUGAUUUAUAUCCUGGGUCGGCUAUCUCCACAAAGGGCAAGAAAACGCUCCAAGUUUGUAGUAUAGAACUAAAAGUGUCGAUUCUCACGAUUUCUUCCCGACAUAUACAAACUAGACAGUAAUCACAUAAAAUAAAGAAAUAUGUGUUAACACAAACUUAUAGCAUGUAUUUCAACAUAUAGAUUGUUGAUUAUUAUGGUAGAUUAUAUAAAAUAGAGGUUCCCGAAGAAAUACAUAAAAACAAGAGCAUUAAAAUUUCCAUUUCAGAUCUGGCUAUCUGGUAAAAGGAGUUGGAGUAACUGAGUUUCCAAAUUUGUGACGUAGCUCUAUAGAAGGAAUAUAAAUACGUUGGAAAAAUUCUACAAGGAAAGGUUUAAUACAAGUAGGGCUAAGAAAAACUCAAUGAGGCUUUGGUCGCAUGGUCACAAAACUUGAGACAAGAAACACGAAGACACCAAGGUAAUUAGUAUGAGAGUUUUCCAAAUUUGGUGUCUUGAUGUAGAAAAAAUAAAUAUAUGACAAACUUGUUUUUUCGCAAGGCAUGGAUAAAUAAGUGGGGGCGAGCAAUAAAUUUCAUCCUAGAUUUAGAAGGAAUAAAUAUAUCACUAAAUACGUUUUUUCAUAAUGCCAAGUUCAUCAGGUGGGAGCGAGAAACAAUUCUAGCGAGGUUAGGUUGUACUAGCCCAAAACUACAUACAACAGAGGAAAAAUGAAGAAAAUGAUGGUCUACCAAAUAUGGCGCAUGGGCCUUAAGGUGCACCUAGAGGGAAGUAUAAGAAAUAAAUAUAUAAUAGCCUAUGUUUUUCGCAAUGCAAGGUAAAGUGUAGAUGUGCUCUAACUGGGCUUAGAUUGCAGCGACACAUUAUGCAUCUACAAGGCUUGGUUGCACAUGGAAAAAGAUAGAGAGAGAAAUGUAGACACAGGACGGGGAGAAAAACAUUCAAUGAGACAUGAUUGCACGGACAUAGAACUAGAUAUAAGACAAGAGUUAAAGAAAAAUAAAGGAACUAAAUUUUCUUCUGCACACUCAGCAUGAAUGGAGUUGUAGUAUCUGAGAUCAAAAUUUAAUUUAUUCCAAGAUGCAGAACAAAAACGUGAUACUCGUAAUGGUUACAUAGGAACAAAAGUAGAUAAGAAAAAUAGCAAAAAGAUAGUGGUCUACCAGAGAGGGCACAUGUGCCUCAAUUGGCCUAUAGCAUAGCGACUCAUUAUCCUUCCACCGCUGGUGGCAGGCGGUACUCGCUGCUCUGUGAAGCCAGCCUCACGCAAUGUCCGCCACUUUAGGUGUUGGGAUGCAAAGGCUUUCGCCAAGGCAUCCGAAACCCACUACGCAACUUGGAAUGGGUGGUCCACAGUUUGUAGCACUAGACCCAGGCACAUGCACCACAAUUGACAUCCACACUACCUU
rnacentral:lncRNA from 1 species